rnacentral:tRNA from 1 species
GCCUUCAUGAUGUAGUGUUCAGCACACUCGACGCGUACUCGAGAGGUCCGCGGUUCAAGUCCCGGCGAAGGCA